UGCAGUCGAGGGGCAGCAUAGGUACUUGUACCUGAUGGCGACCGGCGCACGGGUGAGUAACGCGUAUACAUUUACCUUGUACGGGGGGAUAACCGAGAGAAAUUUCGACUAAUACCCCAUAGUAUGUAUUUACCGCAUGGUAUUUGCAUUAAAGAUUUAUCGGUACAAGAUGGGUAUGCGUCCUAUUAGCUGGAUGGUAAGGUAACGGCUUACCAUUGCUAUGAUAGGUAGGGGUCCUGAGAGGGAGAUCCCCCACACUGGUACUGAGACACGGACCAGACUCCUACGGGAGGCAGCAGUGAGGAAUAUUGGACAAUGGGGGCAACCCUGAUCCAGCCAUGCCGCGUGCAGGAAGACUGCCCUAUGGGUUGUAAACUGCUUUUAUACGGGAAGAAACCCAUGCUCGUGAGCGUGGCUGACGGUACCGUACGAAUAAGCACCGGCUAACUCCGUGCCAGCAGCCGCGGUAAUACGGAGGGUGCAAGCGUUAUCCGGAAUCAUUGGGUUUAAAGGGUCCGUAGGCGGGCGAUUAAGUCAGGGGUGAAAUCCCACAGCUCAACUGUGGAACUGCCUUUGAUACUGGUUGUCUUGAAUUUUGGUGAAGUAGAUAGAAUAUGUAGUGUAGCGGUGAAAUGCAUAGAUAUUACAUAGAAUACCGAUUGCGAAGGCAGUCUACUAACCAACAAUUGACGCUAUGGACGAAAGCGUGGGGAGCGAACGGGAUUAGAUACCCCG
rnacentral:rRNA from 1 species